GGUUCCAUAGCGUAGCGGUUAGGACGUCUGCUUUAUACGCAGAAGGUCCCGGGGUCACAGCCCAGUGGAGCCA
rnacentral:tRNA from 1 species